GGGGAUGUAGCUCAAAUGGUAGAGCGCUCGCUUAGCAUGCGAGAGGUACCGAGAUCGACCUUUUUUGAUCUCGACGCCGUUCCUU
rnacentral:tRNA from 1 species